rnacentral:rRNA from 1 species
GAUGAACGCUGGCGGCGUGCCUAAUACAUGCAAGUCGAGCGGCAGCACGGUCUUCGGACUGGUGGCGAGCGGCGGACGGCUGAGUAACGCGUAGGAACGUACCCCAAAGUGAGGGAUAAGCACCAGAAAUGGUGUCUAAUACCGCAUGUGCUCUACGGAGUAAAGCUUUUGCGCUUUGGGAGCGGCCUGCGCAUGAUUAGCUAGUUGGUGAGGUAAUGGCUCACCAAGGCGAUGAUCAUUAGCUGGUCUGAGAGGAUGAUCAGCCAGACUGGGACUGAGACACGGCCCAGACUCCUACGGGAGGCAGCAGUAGGGAAUUUUCCACAAUGGGGGCAACCCUGAUGGAGCAACGCCGCGUGCAGGAUGAAGGCCUUCGGGUUGUAAAGCUCUUUUGGCGGGGACGAUGAUGACGGUACCCGCAGAAUAAGCCCCGGCAAACUUCGUGCCAGCCGCCGCCGUAA